AGUCGAACGCUGAAGCACUCUGCUUGCAGAGUGUGGAUGAGUGGCGAACGGGUGAGUAACACGUGGGGAACCUGCCCAUAAGAGGGGGAUAACAUUCGGAAACGGAUGCUAAUACCGCAUAGGUGAUCUGAGCGCAUGCUCGGAUCAUUAAAGAUGGCACUUGUGCUAUCGCUUAUGGAUGGCCCCGCGGCGUAUUAGCUAGUUGGUGAGGUAAUGGCUCACCAAGGCUGUGAUACGUAGCCGACCUGAGAGGGUGAUCGGCCACACUGGGACUGAGACACGGCCCAGACUCCUACGGGAGGCAGCAGUAGGGAAUCUUCCACAAUGGGCGAAAGCCUGAUGGAGCAAUACCGCGUGAGUGAAGAAGGUCUUCGGAUCGUAAAGCUCUGUUGUUAGAGAAGAAUAAGAGGUGUAGUAACUGGCAUCUCCUUGACGGUAUCUAACCAGAAAGUCACGGCUAACUACGUGCCAGCAGCCGCGGUAAUACGUAGGUGACAAGCGUUGUCCGGAUUUAUUGGGCGUAAAGCGAGCGCAGGCGGUCUUUUAAGUCUGAUGUGAAAGCCCACGGCUCAACCGUGGAGGGUCAUUGGAAACUGGAAGACUUGAAUGCAGAAGAGGAAAGUGGAAUUCCAUGUGUAGCGGUGAAAUGCGUAGAUAUAUGGAGGAACACCAGUGGCGAAGGCGACUUUCUGGUCUGUAAUUGACGCUGAGGCUCGAAAGCGUGGGGAGCAAACAGGAUUAGAUACCCUGGUAGUCCACGCCGUAAACGAUGAGUGCUAAGUGUUGG
rnacentral:rRNA from 1 species